UGGGGAAUAUUGGACAAUGGGCGCAAGCCUGAUCCAGCCAUGCCGCGUGAGUGAUGAAGGCCUUAGGGUUGUAAAGCUCUUUCGCCGGUGAAGAUAAUGACGGUAACCGGAGAAGAAGCCCCGGCUAACUUCGUGCCAGCAGCCGCGGUAAUACGAAGGGGGCUAGCGUUGCUCGGAAUCACUGGGCGUAAAGCGCACGUAGGCGGAUCGUUAAGUCAGGGGGUGAAAUCCUGGAGCUCAACUCCAGAACUGCCCUUGAUACUGGCGAUCUCGAGUUCGAGAGAGGUUGGUGGAACUCCGAGUGUAGAGGUGAAAUUCGUAGAUAUUCGGAAGAACACCAGUGGCGAAGGCGGCCAACUGGCUCGAUACUGACGCUGAGGUGCGAAAGCGUGGGGAGCAAAACAGGAUUAGAUACCCUGGUAGUCCACGCCGUAAAACGAUGGAUGCUAGCCGUUGGGGGGUUUACCUCUCAGUGGCGCAGCUAACGCCUUAAGCAUCCCGCCUGGGGAGUACGGUCGCAAGAUUAAAACUUAAAUGAAUUGACGGGGUCAUAGCUG
rnacentral:rRNA from 1 species